rnacentral:lncRNA from 1 species
CAAAACUAAUAUGUGGAAAAGUCAAAAAUAUGAACUUUUUAUUCCUGAUUCUUUUUAUUAUUUGGAGAAUUAAACAGACAAUACUCUGUUCACUGAAAUCAAAGCAAAAGGAAAACUCACACAUUGAGAAAAUAUUCCCAAAAAGGAUACCUACUAUUCUCCCAUAUGUCCUAAGGUAUUAAAGAAAAUAAAUGGCUUAAAUAAGUGGCAGAAAGGAUUUAGGUUAGAUAUUAACUGGGUGGCUGAUGUUGGUGAGACAUUGAAAAAGAUUACCAAAAGAUACUUUGAGAUAAUUAAAGUCCUGAAAAAUGCUAUGCGCAUUGGAUUCCAUCCCAGUAUGUGCCUGAGGGUGCAGGAAGUGAUUCAGUGAAUCCUUGUUAAUUAUUUGAAAGCAGGGGGAUAAACUGGCUGUCUUCACAUAGUUUCUUUGAGUGAAUUCUCUGAUUCUACAGCAAAGAUUCUACUGAAUGCAUCUGUACUACUCAGGAGUGGUGUUCUUUGGUGUUUGGGGAUAGAUCUUUGUUUUCUUGACCCCUUCAUCCUUGCUUUCUGGAGAAUGCAGGCUCCCUCACUCAAUUCCAUUUCAGAACCUUCAUUCAUUCAGUCCUCUGGGGAGAAGUCUGAUAUGACCUGACUCACCUGGAGUCUUGAGCUACUACUGGGGCAGUUAACUUUCUACACCACUGUUGGUUUGGUUUCACUCUGCUCCCCAGGGAGAUUUGAAGAAGAUGAAAUUUUUGCCCUGAGAUUAAAGGGGACAGUUUCAGUGGGUUUAUGGCUUGUCAGUGUUGUAGGAUAAAGAAGAGACAAGGUAGCUGGUUUAAGACAGUAAAUAGCCUAGCUUUUCCAACGGGCCAGCACUGUUGACAUGGAGUAGUAAUCACACUGCUCCCUGCCUGAUGCAGGACAUUUAGUCUUUAGAACCACGGAGCAGAGAAUGCAGAGCAGGUGAGAGUUGCUGGUGAUGACCCCAUGCAACCAACUCUGUCACUGUGCAGAUGAAAAAGCACAAAGAUGAAAAGAUGAAAAAGGAGAGGUAUCAAUUAUUUUUCUUUUACAUUUCAGAGUUGGAAAUUGAAGAAUGCAAUGGAAAACAACAAGAAAAAGGCAAGGAGUCAGAGACAUCCCUGCCACGCGGCACAGAGAUUUAUAACUCUGAGCAAAGGUUUCAACAAAUACUAUUUCUUUACUCCAAAGUCCAUCUAUGUGUGCUUCCUGAAAUAAAGAACAGAGCAUUUCUGUCUUCUGGUCUCUAAUCCCAGGAGCCUUAGCAGCAGAGGCUGGGGGAGUUCCAAAAGGUCUUCUUAUAACUCUGGAGAUAAUGACUGGCUCAAACAAGCUGGCGCCGUGUGGGGACACCCAUAGACUUUAUUUAUCUCUCUCUGUCUCUUUUUUUUUUCAGGCUGACAUAGUGUCUGCACUGACAUACCCAGUCCAGAAAAAAGAAACUGUGUCUGUUAUAACUUUUACUUAAGUGGUAUAAGUGGAAAGAUCAUAACGCAAAGAUUUGUUGAAAACACACUUCUUAUCCAGACAAUCCAUUGUAAUGUUUCAAUUAAAAAGUUCUACUCACAGAAAGAGAUUUUAAAAAAAAAAAGAAGAAGGACAAGAUCUGGGAUUAAGUUUAACGACCUGGAACAGGCAAAGAACAUAAUAAAAUUUCUGAUUCGGUAUCUGGGUUGUGGGUA